rnacentral:rRNA from 1 species
UAAUACGUAGGGCGCAAGCGUUGUCCGGAAUUAUUGGGCGUAAAGAGCUCGUAGGCGGCUUAUCACGUCGGGUGUGAAAGCCCGGGGCUUAACCCCGGGUCUGCAUUCGAUACGGGCUAGCUAGAGUGUGGUAGGGGAGAUCGGAAUUCCUGGUGUAGCGGUGAAAUGCGCAGAUAUCAGGAGGAACACCGGUGGCGAAGGCGGAUCUCUGGGCCAUUACUGACGCUGAGGAGCGAAAGCGUGGGGAGCGAACAGGAUUAGAUACCCUGGUAGUCCACGCCGUAAACGGUGGGAACUAGGUGUUGGCGACAUUCCACGUCGUCGGUGCCGCAGCUAACGCAUUAAGUUCCCCGCCUGGGGAGUACGGCCGCAAGGC